GGGGACAUGUCUCAGUCGGCAGAGUACUUGCUUGUCACAUGCAAGACUCUGGGUUCAAACCCCAAUUUCAUUU
rnacentral:tRNA from 1 species